GUCAGAGUAUUAACAUUUUAUUUUUGGAUGUAGUGGUCGUAGGGUCUAGGAUUUCCCUGAAGUUUUGCACCAGGCAGAGAGUGAUGAAUGAAGAAUCUGAAUUAAGGAGAACUAGAUUCUGAUGAAUGUCAUCAUAUGAUGUACUCUAUGGCUCCACACCAUCUGAAGUGGAGAGGAAGCGUUGCAAGAAACUUCCUUGCCAACCAUGGUAUGGUAGAAAAUCGAUAUGGAUCUACUGGCAGAUCUUUGGAUGAUAUGCAAUAGAUCACAAAAGAUCAUAACUUCCUGCUAUUUAACUUCUGA
rnacentral:lncRNA from 11 species